rnacentral:rRNA from 1 species
UACAGAGGUCCCAAGCGUUGUUCGGAUUCACUGGGCGUAAAGGGUGCGUAGGCGGUCGGGUAAGUCUGAUGUGAAAUCUCACAGCUUAACUGUGAAACUGCAUUGGAUACUAUCCGGCUUGAGGAAUGGAGGGGAGACUGGAAUACUUGGUGUAGCAGUGAAAUGCGUAGAUAUCUGGAGGAACACCGGUGGCGAAGGCGGCAUCCUGGACCGAUACUGACGCUGAGGAGCGAAAGCCAGGGGAGCAAACAGG